rnacentral:rRNA from 1 species
UACGAGGGGGGCGAGCGUUGUUCGGAAUUAUUGGGCGUAAAGGGUGCGUAGGCGGUUUGGUAAGUCUGAUGUGAAAUCUAUGGGCUCAACUCAUAGUCUGCAUCGGAAACUGCCGGGCUUGAGUAUGGGAGAGGUGAGUGGAAUUCCUGGUGUAGCGGUGAAAUGCGUAGAUAUCACUUGGAACGCCGACGGUGAAAACAGCUCGCUGGGUGUGUUCUGACGCUGAGGCACGAAAGCCAGGGGAGCGAACGGG